GACGAACGCUGGCGGCGUGCUUAACACAUGCAAGUCGAACGGUGAAGCGCCUUCCUUUUUGGUGGGGGUGGAUGAGCGGCGAACGGGUGAGUAACACGUGAGCAACCUGCCUCGUUCUUCUGGAUAACCGCAUGAAAGAGUGGCUAAUACGGGACAUUCUGGGUCUGUUGCAUGAUGGGUUUGGGAGAGAUAUUGUUACGGUGGGGGAUGGGCUCGCGGCCGUUGGGUUUGGGGGUGGGGUGAUGGCCUACGAAGGCGGUGACGGGUGGCCGGCCGGAGAGGGUGGACGGCCGCGCGGGGGCACAGGCACGGCCCGGACUCGGGAGGGAGCAGGCGGUGAGGAAAAGUGCUCGGUGGGAGCAAGCCUGAUGCAGCGACGCCGCGUGAGGGAUGGAGGCCGGCGGGUAGGAAACCUCUUUCGCCAGUAACGCAGGUCUGCCUCGUUUGUGCGUGGGUUGACGGUAGCUUGAUAAGAAGCGCCGGCUAACUACGUG
rnacentral:rRNA from 1 species